ACAACUAAGUGCUCUGAUAAGCUAUAUAUCCAGGAACUAAAAAGAUCAGCACAUACUUGAAUAUAUCAGAUACCUACAAAUGGCAGCUGUGAUACGAUACAAGCACCUUGUUCUUGUGGCUUUAAUCUUGCUUUGCUUCAUCACUAUCACAACUACUGAAGCAGCACGAAGUUUGGGAGUGGCGCGGAGUAACUAUAGAUCUGAUGAGAAGAGCUGUGAUGAAACCUUGAAACAUGGGAUCAAAGAAGAUGAUGGAGUAGUACCAGAUGAGAGUACUGAUUUACUGGCUAUGGAUUACAGUCCAGCAAGUAAAAAGCCUCCAAUCCAUAACUAGGUAUAGACCAACCUACUAGCUGGUUUUUUAAGUACUAUAAAUGUUUAAGAGUACUGAAAGGUUAUUUUAGUUUAGUCGCGAUCUAUGCUCCUUCCUAUUUUGUUAGGAAUGGAAAGUCAUGAAACUAUACAUGCUUAGAGAUAAUAUACAGAGCCAUAGAUAAACAGUUGUGAGCUACUGUGCUCUAUCUAUAUAUGCUAGAUCGAGGCUAGGGUCUUUUGUAUAUAAAAAGGAUUGUGCUUCCAUAUGGAAAUUCAUGAACGAAGUUAUUACCAGAUAGCGC